UACGGAGGGAGCUAGCGUUAUUCGGAAUUACUGGGCGUAAAGCGCACGUAGGCGGCUUUUUAAGUCAGAGGUGAAAGCCCGGGGCUCAACUCCGGAAUUGCCUUUGAGACUGGAAGGCUUGAUCGUCGGAGAGGUGAGUGGAAUUCCGAGUGUAGAGGUGAAAUUCGUAGAUAUUCGGAAGAACACCAGUGGCGAAGGCGGCUCACUGGACGACUGAUGACGCUGAGGUGCGAAAGCGUGGGGAGCAAACAGG
rnacentral:rRNA from 1 species